UGGGGAAUUUUGGACAAUGGGCGAAAGCCUGAUCCAGCAAUGCCGCGUGUGUGAAGAAGGCCUUCGGGUUGUAAAGCACUUUUGUCCGGAAAGAAAUCCUUGGCUCUAAUACAGUCGGGGGAUGACGGUACCGGAAGAAUAAGCACCGGCUAACUACGUGCCAGCAGCCGCGGUAAUACGUAGGGUGCAAGCGUUAAUCGGAAUUACUGGGCGUAAAGCGUGCGCAGGCGGUUUGCUAAGACCGAUGUGAAAUCCCCGGGCUCAACCUGGGAACUGCAUUGGUGACUGGCAGGCUAGAGUAUGGCAGAGGGGGGUAGAAUUCCACGUGUAGCAGUGAAAUGCGUAGAGAUGUGGAGGAAUACCGAUGGCGAAGGCAGCCCCCUGGGCCAAUACUGACGCUCAUGCACGAAAGCGUGGGGAGCAAACAGGAUUAGAUACCCUGGUAGUCCACGCCCUAAACGAUGUCAACUAGUUGUUGGGGAUUCAUUUCCUAGUAACGUAGCUAACGCGUGAAGUUGACCGCCUGGGGAGUACGGUCGCAAGAUUAAAACUUAAAAGAAUUGACGGGGUCAUAGCUGUUUCCU
rnacentral:rRNA from 1 species